GACCAGCUUAUUUGCAGUCAGGGCCCAACCUUCUCGUUUCCAUCUUUUCCUCCUUUCUGUUCCAGUGAAUUCACUCGCACAAACCUGAAAUCGAACCUGAAAUCAAACCAAGAUCGAGCGGAAGCACGGCACCACGCCAUGGAGGCGCUGCUGGAGCUAGAAAAGGUGCAGAGGGUGCUCUCGCUCAUGGGCUCCCGUGGCCUCUCCGAUUCCAACGGCAGCGGCGGCGGGGACCGCUUCCUCGCCCACUUCCUCCUCUUCCUGG
rnacentral:lncRNA from 1 species